rnacentral:rRNA from 1 species
UAAUACUGGAUAGGCAAUUAUUCCUGUAAUGGUUUUUUGUUUAAAUGUUUUUUCGCCUAAGGAUGGGUCUGCGGCCGAUUAGGUAGUUGGUUAGGUAAUGGCUUACCAAGCCUUUGAUCGGUACGGGUUGUGAGAGCAAGAGCCCGGAGAUGGAACCUGAGACAAGGUUCCAGGCCCUACGGGGUGCAGCAGGCGCGAAACCUCCGCAAUGUGAGAAAUCGCGACGGGGGGAUCCCAAGUGCCAUUCUUAACGGGAUGGCUUUUCUUUAGUGUAAAAAGCUUUUGGAAUAAGAGCUGGGCAAGACCGGUGCCAGCCGCCGCGGUAACACCGGCAGCUCUAGUGGUAGCAAUUUUUAUUGGGCCUAAAGCGUCCGUAGCCGGUUUAAUAAGUCUCUGGUGAAAUCCUGUAGCUUAACUGUGGGAAUUGCUGGAGAUACUAUUAGACUUGAGACCGGGAGAGGUUAGAGGUACUCCCAGGGUAGAGGUGAAAUUCUGUAAUCCUGGGAGGACCGCCUGUUGCGAAGGCGUCUAACUGGAACGGUUCUGACGGUGAGGGACGAAAGUUAGGGGCGCGAACCGGAUUAGAUACCCGGGUAGUCCUAACUGUAAACGAUGCAGACUUGGUGUUG